UACGUAGGGUGCAAGCGUUGUCCGGAAUUAUUGGGCGUAAAGAGCUUGUAGGCGGUUUGUCGCGUCUGCUGUGAAAUUUCGGGGCUCAACCCCGAACUUGCAGUGGGUACGGGCAGACUAGAGUGUGGUAGGGGAGACUGGAAUUCCUGGUGUAGCGGUGAAAUGCGCAGAUAUCAGGAGGAACACCUGCGGCGAAGGCGGGUUGCUGGGCCGACACUGACGCUGAGGCGCGAAAGCCAGGGGAGCGAACGGG
rnacentral:rRNA from 1 species